CCCGGUCUGUGAUCGAGGAAGCGGAUUGGUGUUUAACUUUCCGCGGGAUGUGGCGGUGCAUGGUUUUUAUACGGUAACCAAAAAUAUUCCAAUCGAAUCCUGCUGACAACCCAGCGUUUCCGUAUUGUCCCACGGAACGGAAGCUGUAACGAUCGCAAAAACACCUGCACUGGAAGUGCGUAUACCAACGUUGUCCCGUAGGCCAUCAAUCUGUGAGAAUUAAAUAGAAGCGCCGCUCCAGUGCCGUAUCUACACGCUGGUGUCGACUCCAAAAGAUGGCUGACAAAGUCCGGCCAAGAUGCCGAAGCGACGAGAUGAGCUGAAAGGCCAAUCGGAAGACAACGCCAAAAACCACGUGAAGAUCGCGACACACAACAAGAAAAAUUAAUGAAUGUUUGUGAAAUCGAGUGAAAAAGAUUAAUUAACAGAAAAAAUAUAUCUAAAAAUAAUUUAAAA